rnacentral:misc_RNA from 1 species
AAGUCGUAACAAGGUUUCCGUAGGUGAACCUGCGGAAGGAUCAUUAUUGAAAUAAACCUGAUGGGUUGUUGCUGGUUCUCUAGGGAGCAUGUGCACGCUUGUCAUCUUUAUAUCUCCACCUGUGCACUUUUUGUAGAUCUGGAUAGCUUUCUGAAUGCCUAGCAUUUGGGUUUUGAAGAUUGACUCUUUUUGUCUUUCUUUAAAUUUUCAGGUCUAUGUUUCUUCAUAUACCCCAAUGUAUGUUAUAGAAUGUAAUGAACAGGCCUUUGUGCCUAUAAAUCUAUACAACUUUCAGCAACGGAUCUCUUGGUUCUC